rnacentral:ncRNA from 1 species
CUUAUCGAGAGUGGCGGAGGGAACGGCCCUGUGAAGCCACGACAACCUCUCCCGGACCUCCGGGGAAAGGUGCCAAUUCCGACGGAUGACGAGAGAUAAG